rnacentral:rRNA from 1 species
CCUACGGGAGGCAGCAGUGGGGAAUAUUGCAAAUGGGGGAAACCCUGAUGCAGCGACGCCGCGUGAGUGAAGAAGUAAUUCGUUAUGUAAAGCUCUAUCAGCAGGGAAGAAAAUGACGGUACCUGAGCAAGAAGCGCCGGCUAACUACGUGCCAGCAGCGGCGGUAAUACGUAGGGGGCAAGCGUUAUCCGGAUUGACUGGGUGUAAAGGGAGCGUAGACGGCAGUGCAAGUCUGGAGUGAAAGGCGGGGGCUAAACCCACGGACUGCUCUGGAAACGGUACGGCUGGAGUGCAGGAGAGGUGAGUGGAAUUCCUAGUGUAGCGGUGAAAUGCGUAGAUAUAAGGAGGAACACCAGUGGCGAAGGCGGCUUACUGGACUGUAACUGACGUUGAGGCUCGAAAGCGUGGGGAGCAAACAGGAUUAGAUACCCCAGUAGUC